UUUGCACAUGUGGAGUUUGAGUUGCCUGUGGAACAUCUUGGGCUCUUUGAACAUUUUUUCAGAUGUGAGGUGAUGAUGGCCUUCCUAAAGUACCUUCCUUUCAUUCUGUGAUAGGUUUUCCUCCUUCACAGAGAAAAUGGAAUACAGUGAUGCAGUAGGGUUCUAAUCAUGACUGCUAUCUCAGGAGAUGGGAGCAACAUAGCAGCCAGGGACUCUGCUACAGGGGCAGUGCCUCUGAGUUCACAGGGGGCUCCUCCCGCUGACAAACUAAAACCAUGACCGUCUGGGUAGAUCAGAUUCCUCAGAGGCAAUUCAGGAGGGAAAUGGAAUUCCUCUGGAAAUACACAUCAUGGAAGCUUGAGUUCUUUUGUGUGGCUGGAGUUGUAUCUCUGAUUCCAAAAAGGAUGCCAUCUCUGGAAGACAGGGACUGAGCCAAGGGCAUGGACCUAGGAUUUGACUCUCAGCUUUGGAAUCCUGCUGACUUCUAGUUUCCACAUCUCAUCGAAAAGUCAGGAAGCAGCUAAAGCAAAUACUGCCUUUCGCAUUAGACCUAAGUGCAGCUGGAGCUUCAAAAGAGAAGCUUAGUUUCCUUCCCCAGUUGGAAUGCUCCAAUAUUUCCCUACUUUUCAAUAAAAUGCUGAAAAGAAA